rnacentral:misc_RNA from 1 species
AUUUUAUUUAUUUAAAAUAUAAUAAAUAAAAAUUUAUAAAUUUUAUUAUGAAAAACAUAAAUUUUAUAUUUAUUUAAUUAUUUAUAUAUAAACAGAUAUCAUAUUCAGAUAAUGGAUCAGUGCCUGCAACCCGUUGCCUUCCCUUCACAACGACUAAUAUAUUUAAAAUAUGACCCGUGGUCAUUAAAUGCAUUUGUCAAAAAUAAAUUUGAAAUAGUUAUUCCAUCCGCCACCAAAACCUAAAACAUAACCACAAAAUACCACUUCGCUUUCAUUCAAAAUCUGAUAACACAUUGAUCAAAACAUCCACACAAGAUCAGUAGCAUAAUAAUUAAA